rnacentral:rRNA from 1 species
UACGUAGGCAGCGAGCGUUGUUCGGAAUUACUGGGCGUAAAGCGUGCGCAGGCGGUUCGCUGUGUCCUGUGUGAAAGCCCCGGGCUUAACCUGGGAAUGGCAUGGGAAACUGGCGAGCUUGAGUGCGGCAGAGGGGGGUGGAAUUCCGCGUGUAGCAGUGAAAUGCGUAGAGAUGCGGAGGAACACCGAUGGCGAAGGCAGCCCCCUGGGUCGACACUGACGCUCAGGCACGAAAGCGUGGGGAGCAAACAGG